rnacentral:rRNA from 1 species
AGAGUUUGAUCAUGGCUCAGGACGAACGCUGGCGGCGUGCUUAACACAUGCAAGUCGAACGGAAAGGCCCUGCUUUUGUGGGGUGCUCGAGUGGCGAACGGGUGAGUAACACGUGAGUAACCUGCCCUUGACUUUGGGAUAACUUCAGGAAACUGGGGCUAAUACCGGAUAGGAGCUCCUGCUGCAUGGUGGGGGUUGGAAAGUUUCGGCGGUUGGGGAUGGACUCGCGGCUUAUCAGCUUGUUGGUGGGGUAGUGGCUUACCAAGGCUUUGACGGGUAGCCGGCCUGAGAGGGUGACCGGCCACAUUGGGACUGAGAUACGGCCCAGACUCCUACGGGAGGCAGCAGUGGGGAAUAUUGCACAAUGGGCGGAAGCCUGAUGCAGCAACGCCGCGUGCGGGAUGACGGCCUUCGGGUUGUAAACCGCUUUCGCCUGUGACGAAG